GUUUCUGUAGUGUAGUGGUUAUCAUGUUCAUCUCACACACAAAAGUUUCCUGGUUCAAAACCAGGCGGAAAACA
rnacentral:tRNA from 1 species